rnacentral:rRNA from 1 species
AUUGAACGCUGGCGGCAUGCCUUACACAUGCAAGUCGAACGGCAGCACGGGGGGCAACCCUGGUGGCGAGUGGCGAACGGGUGAGUAAUGCAUCGGAACGUGCCCAGUAGUGGGGGAUAACUAGUCGAAAGAUUAGCUAAUACCGCAUACGACCUACGGGUGAAAGCGGGGGAUGCAGCACUUAAUGUUUUGGGAUGGCUACUUGUGGCCGCCUCGGGACAGUCUCAGGUGAGAACAUUAAGUGCUGCACCUCGCGCUAUUGGAGCGGCCGAUGUCUGAUUAGCUAGUUGGCGGGGUAAAGCCCACAAGGCGACGAUCAGUAGCUGGUCUGAGAGGACGACCAGCCACACUGGGACUG